rnacentral:tRNA from 3 species
GCGGGUGUAGUUUAAUGGUAAAACCUCAGCCUUCCAAGCUGAUGACGAGGGUUCGAUUCCCUUCAUCCGCUCCA